rnacentral:lncRNA from 1 species
GUAUACAUAUUGUCGCCGAGAAAUACUAUAUAAUUGCUACACCAGUAUUUCAUUUUCAUGUAAACAUGUUAUUUUUGUCUCCGCCAAACUAUGCAAAGCUGCAUUGCACAAAACCUGUUUCCUCUCCAGCAAAAUUUACCAGGGACCCAAAAAAAAACGAACUAAACUAGCCAAAUCCCUGCCUAGUGUGCAUAGUAUACAUUUUCAUCUCUUCUUCCCUGCCUAGUGUGCAUAGUAUACAUUUUCAUCUCUUCUUCCCUGCUUAGUGUGCAUAGUAUACAUUUUCAUCUCUUCUUGCUCUUCAGUCUACUCUUCCCUUCUAAUUUCCUGCCCCUUGCCUUUCCUCCUCUCUACUUGAGUUUCUUCUGCCCCUUUGCUGACCUCUCCUUCCCUUUGUUCCUUGACAGCCGUCGGAGCCUUCAAGCCCAGAGAGCUUCUAGUAUUUGUCUUCGUCCCUCCAUGCUCCAGCUUCUUCAGGAGGUGGUACU